UUACAAUAUUUCUUUCUUUCUAUUACUUUGAGUCGGUUCAUAGUUCAGUAGAAGUCGUGGUGGCCUAGUGGGUAAAGGACCAGCCUCUCAAGUAUGAUGGCGCGGGUUCGAUCCCAGGUCAGGCAAGUAGGGUAAACUGGGUACGGUUGUGCCAGGGUACGGUAGUGACAGUCGCAGUUGUAACGAAACUAUACGUAAAACGGGGGAGGUUGUGAGGGAGAAAGACGUGGCUCACAAGCCUAAACACGUUCCCCAGUAUUGCGUUAGCCGGCGCACGACGUUGACGUAAGCAGGAGCCCACAUUGCUUUUCAACAAUCAAAAAUGUCCAGGAUACGUUUGCGGAAGACCGAAAGAGCGCAGUGUGAUAUCAAAAAAUAAAAAGAUGCCGAUGAAGAAGUGAAACAAGGGAUUUCGUACGUGUAGCUCAAGCUACAAGCCUUUCUACAGCUACAAGUUUGAACAGAGCAAAUGUUGUUUUGUUGAUUGUUAAAACUAUGUUUGUAAGCUUAUUAUGUUAAACAUUUCUACAAUAAAAGAUAUUAUAGACCAUUUUGA
rnacentral:lncRNA from 1 species